GAUACUUCCUGUCCGGCGAUUCCAACCUCUCAGGCGAGGAGCAAGCAACUUCCUUCACCGUUUCCUGUCCAUUCCUGUCCGGCGAGCAACUUCCCGUUGAUACCUCCCGUCCAUUCCUGUCCGGCGAGCAACUUGCGGCUACAUCUCCAGUUCUGUCCGGCAAGGUUAGGCUUCCAUCCGGCGAACGUCGACGACUUCGGUUAGGCUUCCAUCCGACUCAGGUUAGACUCCACAACCCAUCUUUGGGUUCUGAAUUUUUUUCAAUGUUUAAUCAAUAUCGAUUUAGGUUUUCCAUUUCACUUUCUUUUCAUUUCAAAAUUCUUUGGGUUUUCCUUUUCCCGAAAUUAAAAUCUCAACUAGUAUAUCCAGAAAUCAUCACCUAUUUUCCCCAGUACAUGUCCCCCAAUAUAGUUUAGAGUUUAGAAAAAUAAAUUGUGUAUUUCCCCAAUACGCAAUUACAACUGGAGUGUUGUGGGAAUUAAGGGAUUGAGGAUUGAUUCUCUCCAUUAAUGACUCAUAAAUCCUUUAUUGCCCAACUCUAAAUUACUGUCUCAUACCAUCUGUCUAUCUAUCUAUUAGUUGAUGUUAUACCAUCUGUAACAGUUUUAUACAACCAGAAGAGCUUGCAGAGACAACCAUGUCUGAAUUUUCCCUCCAACAUACACUGGAAACGAAAUGUCCAUUGUCAUAAGCACUCUCUUGGUUGGAUAUUGGAUCUAUAGAACUAAACUUGUGUGAAGUUACCAAAUUUCUGUUAAUAAUUAAGCAAGAAGCUAAAAAUAAAAUGAUUUCUUAUUAAUGAAUUACAAUCAGUUUAUAAAGUUUAAUGACACUUGAAAUUGAAAAUAUAUAGUUUUAGUUUGUAGAUAUAUGACAUUGUAGUAUAUAAAAAUAGAAAGAAUGAGAAGAAAAAUCAUACUUCAUUGAUAUUCCAAAGUUUGACAGGAACAAUAUGAAAUCCGAAUGUUGGAUUUUAAAAUAGGAAUAAUAUUAAAAUAUGUAAACAUGAAUAAUUAGGAAUAAUCAAAAACAGAAAUAAUUAGGAAUAAUCAAAAACAGGAAUAAUCAAAAAACAAAGUAGCCAUGCUUAUUCCCAUAUGUUGGGUUUUAAAACCAAAACCCCUAAAACUUGAAGUUAAAAGCCCCAAAUCAUGUUUUGAAGUUAAAAGCCCCAAAUCGUGUUUUGAAAUUAAAAGCCCCAAAUCGUGUUUUGAAGUUAAAAGCCCCAAAUCAACCUACUCCCUCCCGUUGAUACUUCCUGUUGUCCGGCGAGCAGCAGCGAUACCUCCAGUCCGGCGAGCAGCAGCGAUACCUCCUGUCCGGCGAGCAGCAACGAUAUCUCCAGUCCGGCGAUACCUCUAGGCCAUUCCGUUUAUUUCACCUCCAGGUAAGAUCGAUUUGUUUCCAUUCUUGAUUCAUAUGUUUACUUCACCGAUUAUUUAUGUUUUUGUUCUUGAUUCUAUUUUUAAUAGUUGUUCUUCAUUAUUCCGUUGUUGAUUCUAUUCUUAAUAGAUGUUUUUCUUUUUUUCUGUUGACUUUGACAUGGUUCAAGAGCAUCAUCCCUCAUGUCUAGUGGCCAUGGUUUAUGACAUGGUCAUAGACUAUAGAUAAGAAUCUGUAGAACCAAAAUGUCUCUUUCUUGUGCUGUAUGAAUCUAAGCUGGGAUGCUGGUCAUGGAAUAAAUCUCUAAGUUCUCCUCAAAUUCUGAAGAAUCCUCUUGCAUAAUAGUCUAUGUGUUUGUAAAUCCUUAUCUGUGUGUUGCUGGAAUUUUAAAUAACUCUAUUUCCCACUUCAUUAUUUAAUCCAAUGAUCUGUUUGGAAUUUUAGAAGAAUGAAAUUCAGAUUUGACCAUUAAAUUCAGAUUCCCACUCCAGUCCUCAGUCCAGUGGCCAUGGUUUAUGACAUGGUCAUAGACUAUAGAUAAGAAUCUGUAGAACCAAAAUGUCUCUUUCUUGUGCUGUAUGAAUCUAAGCAGGGAUGCUGGUCCUGAAAUAAAUCUCUAAGUUCUCCUCAAAUUCUGAAGAAUUCUCUUGCAUAAUAGCCUCUUGUAUAAUAGUCUAUGUGUUUGUAAAUCCUUAUCUGUGUGUUGACUCUCACCUAGCUGAAGUUCGUCUAAGAAUAAUAAAUAUUUAGGCACCUAAACUGACUAGAUGAUGACAAAAAUAUGUUAUAUGUUGCUGGAAUUUUAAAUAACUUUAUUUCCCACUUCAUUAUUUAAGCCAAUGAUCUAUUUGAAAUUUUAGAAGAAUGAAAUUCAGAUUUGACCAUUAAAUUUUUAGUUUGCUAAAAUAUUUUCAUUUAAAUGAAAACUAAAGUAAUAUUUUCAUAAAAUAUCUUAUCCCUGCUUAUAUGUAUGAAAACUAAAGUAAAAUUGUAAUACGAUUUCAUGUUACUUAUCCUACUAUGCCAAAAUAAUGUAGUUUGUUUGUAUAUAGAAAAUUAGGCUAGUCAUUAAGAGGUUGCCACUAAGUUUACCCAAAAGAUUUUAAAUGUUAUUUUAUAGUUAUUUCAACUCUAUCCUACUUUUGUAGUUCUAUACUUCUAUUAUCCGUUCUGUUUUCAUGAUUUGUUGUAUUCACAGAUUAUAAAUGGCACCCAAAAAAACAUUGGUUAGUAAGAAACGACGACUUACACGAAGUUCUGUCGACCAUGACGAACCUUCUUCAAGUACUCAUGUUCCGACUGCAACUUUCUAUUGAGAAAGAAAAAGAAAAAGAAAAAAUGAACGAUCAAAUGGAGAAGUUAAUAGAGGUAUAUGUAUGAAAAUCAAUAAAAUUUUAAAGUAAUACAUAAAUAUAAAUGAAUCUUAAAUGUUUUACAGGAUAAUCGAGUUUUAAAAAGGAAAUAUGAUGAAAUGUUUGAUAUGUUUGAAGACCUGAAGAAAACAGUUUUAUCCCAAUCAAAUACAACUCCACAACCUUCAGAUCGUGGAUCGUUGCAAGAUAGAAGUAUUAAUGAAGGUCAGAACGAUCAAAGAUAUCAAACUCCUCCAUCCAAAUAGGUCUUCCAUGUUAUUUUUGUUGAAUGUUAGUUUUGUUGAAUGUUAGUUUUGUUGAAUGUUAAUUUUGUUGAAUGUUAGUUUUCUUGAAUGUUGAAUGUUGUAUUUGUUGAAUGUUGUUUUUGUAUUGAAUAUUUGUUAAAUAUUGAAUGAAUUUACAGGAAUUAAUAUUAAUUGAAUGAAUUUACAGGAUUUUGCAUUUAAUUUACAGGUUCCAAGACUUAAGAGAUUGUAUAUGUGUAGUAAG
rnacentral:lncRNA from 1 species